rnacentral:rRNA from 1 species
UGGGGAAUAUUGCACAAUGGGCGCAAGCCUGAUGCAGCCAUGCCGCGUGUAUAAAGAAGGCCUUCGGGUUGUAAAGUACUUUCAGCGGGGAGGAAGGGAGUAAAGUUAAUACCUUUGCUCAUUGACGUUACCCGCAGAAGAAGCACCGGCUAACUCCGUGCCAGCAGCCGCGGUAAUACGGAGGGUGCAAGCGUUAAUCGGAAUUACUGGGCGUAAAGCGCACGCAGGCGGUUUGUUAAGUCAGAUGUGAAAUCCCCGGGCUCAACCUGGGAACUGCAUCUGAUACUGGCAAGCUUGAGUCUCGUAGAGGGGGGUAGAAUUCCAGGUGUAGCGGUGAAAUGCGUAGAGAUCUGGAGGAAUACCGGUGGCGAAGGCGGCCCCCUGGACGAAGACUGACGCUCAGGUGCGAAAGCGUGGGGAGCAAACAGG